GCGGAGGAAAAGAAACCAACAGGGAUUGCCCCAGUAACGGCGAGUGAAGCGGCAACAGCUCAAAUUUGAAAUCUGGCUUCGGCCCGAGUUGUAAUUUGCAGAGGAAGCUUUAGGCGCGGCACCAUCUGAGUCCCCUGGAACGGGGCGCCACAGAGGGUGAGAGCCCCGUAUAGAUGGACGCCUAGCCUGUGUAAAGCUCCUUCGACGAGUCGAGUAGUUUGGGAAUGCUGCUCUAAAUGGGAGGUAAAUUUCUUCUAAAGCUAAAUACCGGCCAGAGACCGAUAGCGCACAAGUAGAGUGAUCGAAAGAUGAAAAGCACUUUGAAAAGAGGGUUAAAUAGCACGUGAAAUUGUUGAAAGGGAAGCGCUUGUGACCAGACUUGCGCCGGGCGGAUCAUCCGGUGUUCUCACCGGUGCACUCCGCCCGGCUCAGGCCAGCAUCGGUUCUCGUGGGGGGACAAAGGUCCCGGGAACGUAGCUCCUCCGGGAGUGUUAUAGCCCGGGGCGUAAUGCCCUCGCGGGGACCGAGGACCGCGCUUCGGCAAGGAUGCUGGCGUAAUGGUCAUCAGCGACCCGUCUUGAAACACGGACCAAGGAGUCAAGGUUUUGCGCGAGUGUUUGGGUGUAAAACCCGCACGCGUAAUGAAAGUGAACGUAGGUGAGAGCUUCGGCGCAUCAUCGACCGAUCCUGAUGUUUUCGGAUGGAUUUGAGUAGGAGCGUUAAGCCUUGGACCCGAAAGAUGGUGAACUAUGCUUGGAUAGGGUGAAGCCAGAGGAAACUCUGGUGGAGGCUCGCAGCGGUUCUGACGUGCAAAUCGAUCGUCAAAUCUGAGCAUGGGGGCGAAAGA
rnacentral:rRNA from 1 species